ensembl:snRNA U1 U1 spliceosomal RNA
AUCCUUAGCUGGCAGUGGAAAUACCAUAAUCACAGAGGUGGUUUUCCCAGGAUAAGGCUGAUCCAUUGCACUCUGGAUGUGCUAAUUCCUUUGAUUUCCCCAAAUGUUGGAAACUCCACUACAUAAUUUGUGGUACUGGGGACUGGUUUGUGCUUCCUUCCCCU